UACAUGGGGUGCAAACGUUGCUCGGAAUCAUUGGGCGUAAAGCGCACGUAGGCGGCCCAGCAAGUGGGGAGUGAAAGCCCUCGGCUUAACCGAGGAAGUGCUUUCCAAACUACUGGGCUUGAAUACUGGAGAGGGUCGCGGAAUUCCCGGUGUAGAGGUGAAAUUCGUAGAUAUCGGGAGGAACACCAGUGGCGAAGGCGGCGACCUGGACAGAUAU
rnacentral:rRNA from 1 species